rnacentral:rRNA from 1 species
AUUGAACGCUGGCGGCAUGCUUUACACAUGCAAGUCGAACGGUAACAGGCCUUCGGGUGCUGACGAGUGGCGCACGGGUGAGUAAUGCAUCGGAACGUACCCAGAGGUGGGGGAUAACGCAGCGAAAGCUGUGCUAAUACCGCAUGUGAUCUGAGGAUGAAAUCGGGGGACCGAGCAGCAAUGUUUGGCCUCGCGCCUUUGGAGCGGCCGAUGUCGGAUUAGCUAGUUGGUGGGGUAAAGGCCUACCAAGGCGACGAUCCGUAGCUGGUCUGAGAGGACGACCAGCCACACGGGGACUGAGACACGGCCCAGACUCCUACGGGAGGCAGCAGUGGGGAAUUUUGGACAAUGGGCGCAAGCCUGAUCCAGCAAUGCCGCGUGCGGGAAGAAGGCCUUCGGGUUGUAAACCGCUUUUGGCAGGAACGAAACGGUGUCCGCUAAUACCGGGCGCUAAUGACGGUACCUGCAGAAUAAGCACCGGCUAACUACGUG